CGACCCUCAAGCUCUGCUUGGUAUUGGGCUCUGCCGGUCCUGGCAGGCCUCAAAGUCAGUGGCGGUGCCAUCCGGCUCCAAGCGUAGUAAUUCUUCUCGCUUCGGAGGCCGUGGUGCGUGCUAGCCAGCAACCUCCAAUUUUUUCA
rnacentral:misc_RNA from 1 species